GCGACAUUAGGCUCAGUUGACUCUUUGUUUAGAGCAAAAGGGCGGUACCUUGCCAAGGUAUAGGUCAUCGGUUCGAACCCGAUAUGUCGCUCCA
rnacentral:tRNA from 2 species